rnacentral:snRNA from 1 species
GUGCUUGCUUCAGCAGCACAUAUACUAAAAUUGGAAUAAUACAAAGGAGAUUAGCAUGGCCCCUGCACAAGGAUAACACACAAAUUCGUGAAGCGUUCCAUAUCUUU